AUGCCGGCCGCCGCACUCAGGCAGCAACUCAACGACCACGUCGGCCACAUGUACGCCACGGGAAUUCUGGACGAAUAUUACCAACAGCUGCAGUUGACGCAGGACGAGGUCAUCAACAUCUUCUUCCACGACGCCGACAGGAUGCUCAAUGACAUCACCAGUCUUCUGAACCUGCCCAUCGUCGACUUCGAAAUGGUGGGCGAACUGGUGCACCAGCUCAAGGCGUGCAACUGCAGUGUUGGUGCUACGAAAGUUAACCUUGCCUGCGAGCACUUUCGCCAGUUCUACGGGGCAAAAAGCAAAGAAGGGUGUCUCAUGGCAUUGAAUCUUCUUAGGAAUGAGUUCUAUGAUCUGCGCGGCAGGCUACGGACCAUUAUGCAGUUGGAGCAGCAGAUAUGCAGCCUUGGGUCCUAA
rnacentral:rRNA from 1 species